AGGGAAUCUUCCGCAAUGGACGCAAGUCUGACGGAGCAACGCCGCGUGAGUGAUGAAGGUUUUCGGAUCGUAAAGCUCUGUUGCCAGGGAAGAACGCCAGGGAGAGUAACUGCUCCCUGGGUGACGGUACCUGAGAAGAAAGCCCCGGCUAACUACGUGCCAGCAGCCGCGGUAAUACGUAGGGGGCAAGCGUUGUCCGGAAUUAUUGGGCGUAAAGCGCGCGCAGGCGGUUAUUUAAGUUUGGUGUUUAAUCCCGGGGCUCAACCCCGGAUCGCACUGAAAACUGGAUGACUUGAGUGCGGGAGAGGAAAGUGGAAUUCCACGUGUAGCGGUGAAAUGCGUAGAGAUGUGGAGGAACACCAGUGGCGAAGGCGACUUUCUGGACCGUAACUGACGCUGAGGCGCGAAAGCGUGGGGAGCAAAC
rnacentral:rRNA from 1 species